rnacentral:rRNA from 1 species
UACAGAGGGUGCGAGCGUUAAUCGGAAUUACUGGGCGUAAAGGGCGCGUAGGCGGUCGUGACAAGUCACUUGUGAAAUCUCCGGGCUUAACUCGGAACGGUCAAGUGAUACUGUCGGACUAGAGUACAGAAGGGGCAACUGGAAUUCUCGGUGUAGCGGUGAAAUGCGUAGAUAUCGAGAGGAACACCUGCGGCGAAGGCGGGUUGCUGGGCUGAUACUGACGCUGAGGCGCGAAAGCGUGGGGAGCAAACAGG